UCCCUGGUGGACUAGUGGCUAGCACGCGGUGCUCUCAUAACCGCAGUCCAGGUUCGAUUCUCGGUCAGGGAA